AUACGGAGGGUGCAAGCGUUAAUCGGAAUUACUGGGCGUAAAGCGCGCGUAGGCGGUUUGGUAAGUCGGAUGUGAAAGCCCCGGGCUCAACCUGGGAAUUGCAUUCGAUACUGCCAGACUAGAGUAUGGUAGAGGGAAGUGGAAUUCCGGGUGUAGCGGUGAAAUGCGUAGAUAUCCGGAGGAACACCAGUGGCGAAGGCGACUUCCUGGACCAAUACUGACGCUGAGGUGCGAAAGCGUGGGGAGCAAACAGGAUUAGAAACCCUAGUAGUCC
rnacentral:rRNA from 1 species